rnacentral:rRNA from 1 species
AUUGAACGCUGGCGGCAUGCCUUACACAUGCAAGUCGAACGGUAACGAGGGGCAACCUGGCGACGAGUGGCGAACGGGUGAGUAAUAUAUCGGAACGUGCCCAGUAGUGGGGGAUAGCCCGGCGAAAGCCGGAUUAAUACCGCAUACGACCUAAGGGGGAAAGGGGGGGAUCGCAAGACCUCUCGCUAUUGGAGCGGCCGAUAUCCGAUUAGCUAGUUGGUGGGGGAAAAGCCUACCAAGGCGACGAUCUGUAGCUGGUCUGAGAGGACGACCAGCCACAUGGGGACUGAGACACGGCCCAGACGCCUACGGGAGGCAGCAGUGGGGAAUUUUGGACAAUGGACGAAAGUCUGAUCCAGCCAUGCCGCGUGCGGGAAGAAGGCCUUCGGGUUGUAAACCGCUUUUGUCAGGGAAGAAAUCCCUUGAGAUAAUACCUCGGGGGGAUGACGGUACCUGAAGAAUAAGCACCGGCUAACUACGUGCCAGCCGCCGCAGUAA